rnacentral:lncRNA from 9 species
CCCAACUGUCCCCUUUGAUAACUGUUUUUCAAAGUCUGUGUGUCUGUUUCUGUUCUGCAGAUAAGUUCACUUGUAUCCCUUUUUUAGAUUCCACAUAUAGGAAACAAAUGACAAUUUUAACAUUAGAAAAACAAUUUCCAAUUAUGGGCUCCACAGGUUCAAAACAAAUUAAAAGGGGUCUUGAGAGGUGAAACGGUUAGGAGCCUCAACUAUAAUCCAACCAAUCAUUUCAUUUGCAGAUGGGGAAAGAGAGGCUAGAGAAGGAUGGAACCUGCCUUAGAGGAAGAUGGAUAUACGGAUUGGACAGUACAUGUGGAAGGCAAUUUGGAAAUCAGACAAAGUCGAGCACAAAGCCGUGGAUACUGAGAGAGGGAGUGAGCAGUGUGUGAGACCGGCGGCAAGGGUGACCCUGGCACUUCUAAGAAGGCAGCAGCACAAUGGACUCUUCGAAAGAAGCAGUGUCAGUUUAUUCCCGCGUUGGCACCGCCCCCUCAGUGGGGCGGAAUGGCUUGUUUUCACCCUCCCUUUCCUGGAGUCUUUCAGACCAAACUUGUGUCCACAAUCGCUGGCAAUCUGAACCCUGAGUAACCUACGGACAGGUAUUUUGUGGAG